rnacentral:rRNA from 1 species
GACGAACGCUGGCGGCGCGCUUAACACAUGCAAGUCGAACGGAAAGGCCUGCUUUCCCUUGUGGAUUGCGGGUACUCGAGUGGCGAACGGGUGAGUAACACGUGAGUGAUCUGCCCCCAACUUGGGUAUAAGCCUGGGAAACUGGGUCUAAUUCCCGAUAGGACUGCAGGGUGGUGCCUGUGGUGGAAAACGAUUUUCUAGUGGUUGGGGAUGAGCUCGCGGCCUAUCAGCUUGUUGGUGGGGUAAUGGCCUACCAAGGCGGCGACGGGUAGCCGGCCUGAGAGGAUUGACGGUCACAUUGAGACUGGGAUACGACCCAGACUCCUACGGGAGGCGGCGGUGAGGAAUAUUGGACAAUGGGCGGAAGCCUGAUGCAGCGACGCCGCGUGGAAGAUGACGGCCUUCGGGUUGUAAACACCUUUCGACGGCGGGGAAGCCACCUGGUUGGAAGUGUGUUGACGGUAGUGGUAGAAGAAGCACCGGCUAACUACGUG